UGAGUACGACGGAGCACGUGAAAUUCCGUCGGAAUCUGGGAGGACCAUCUCCUAAGGCUAAAUACUCUCUAGUGACCGAUAGUGAACCAGUACCGUGAGGGAAAGGUGAAAAGCACCCCGGAAGGGGAGUGAAAUAGAACCUGAAACCGUGUGCUUACAAGUAGUCAGAGCCCGUUAAUGGGUGAUGGCGUGCCUUUUGUAGAAUGAACCGGCGAGUUACGAUUUGAUGCAAGGUUAAGCAGUAAAUGUGGAGCCGUAGCGAAAGCGAGUCUGAAUAGGGCGUUUAGUAUUUGGUCGUAGACCCGAAACCAGGUGAUCUACCCUUGGUCAGGUUGAAGUUCAGGUAACACUGAAUGGAGGACCGAACCGACUUACGUUGAAAAGUGAGCGGAUGAACUGAGGGUAGCGGAGAAAUUCCAAUCGAACCUGGAGAUAGCUGGUUCUCUCCGAAAUAGCUUUAGGGCUAGCCUCAAGUGAUGAUUAUUGGAGGUAGAGCACUGUUUGGACGAGGGGCCCCUCUCGGGUUACCGAAUUCAGACAAACUCCGAAUGCCAAUUAAUUUAACUUGGGAGUCAGAACAUGGGUGAUAAGGUCCGUGUUCGAAAGGGAAACAGCCCAGACCACCAGCUAAGGUCCCAAAAUAUAUGUUAAGUGGAAAAGGAUGUGGCGUUGCCCAGACAACUAGGAUGUUGGCUUAGAAGCAGCCAUCAUUUAAAGAGUGCGUAAUAGCUCACUAGUCGAGUGACACUGCGCCGAAAAUGUACCGGGGCUAAACAUAUUACCGAAGCUGUGGAUUGUCCUUUGGACAAUGGUAGGAGAGCGUUCUAAGGGCGUUGAAGCAUGAUCGUAAGGACAUGUGGAGCGCUUAGAAGUGAGAAUGCCGGUGUGAGUAGCGAAAGACGGGUGAGAAUCCCGUCCACCGAUUGACUAAGGUUUCCAGAGGAAGGCUCGUCCGCUCUGGGUUAGUCGGGUCCUAAGCUGAGGCCGACAGGCGUAGGCGAUGGAUAACAGGUUGAUAUUCCUGUACCACCUAUAAUCGUUUUA
rnacentral:rRNA from 1 species